CUCAGCAUGGCUGCAGUGGAAUCCAAAGAAGGAGCUGCAGCUCUUCUUCACACUGCACAGGAUGCUUAGGACUGUACACCUGCAACCUGACCCUGGGAACGUGCCAGCUGAAGGGCCUGUCGCAACAAAAAGAUAAAUUCCUCCAGACCUUGAGGGAUUUCUAAUCUCCACCUUGUGCUCCAAUGUGCAGUAUAUUAUAUUUUCACUAACAAAGACCACACCUGCGAAGAUAGGUAAAGAUGAAGGUAACUCACUGUGGCCUGCAGGAGAUUUCUCCGGAACUCAAAGCUCUCAAUACAUCUUACAGUGACCUAUAUCGUCCCUGACAUUUCAUUGAAACCACUGAAAAUCAUUGAUUUGGCUAACAAUCUGAACAACAGCUAUCAAAUUCCAACAUCAUUUCAGAACCUAACAAAUCUGUAUGUGCUAUAACAUAUAUUAUCUUUGCAUAAUCUGGUUUUGGGAGCAGGAAUUCACUGGCAAAAGUGUGAUCAUGGUGCUCUUGUAAAAAGGUCUCUGAACCUCAGCUUCAACUCCAUCUACGUGGACAGGGACUGCUCUUGGCCUAUUCACCUGGCUGAGCUCAGCCUGGGAGAUAACAACCCGAGCAACAGCAAUACCUGUGGUCCAACGUUGAGAACACUGACUUGUCAAAGAUGGGAAUAACAGCCAUAAUGCAUGAGGAUCUGUCUCAGUUUCACAAGCUGACACGCCUCCAACUCGGCUCCAACAGCAGAUCUCACCACCCCAACUCUGCUCAGUCUCUGCAUAGACCAGAACGUCAUCCCAUGGAUAUCCAGGGAGGUCUUGGCAGGACUUCCCAGGCUUCCUGCCCUCAGUGCUGGAAGAAGUGCAUUCGUCUGCUCAUGUGACUCCUAUUGGUUUGUUACUGUUGUCAACAGAGCUGUAAAGAGAGUCCCUUUUAUAAUGUAGAAAUAGAGUAAAAUAGAAAUAUUCAGAUUUCGGCAGUGUCCAUUAUUUCAAUAAUAUAAAAUGUCUUUACCCAGAAGAGAAAUACUUAAUUUGUUCUGUUUUAUGAUCAUGUGUUUGUGUCCUCUGUUUACAAUUUAAGCACAAGUCUCUAUCUACUGCUUGUAAUGACACUGCAGCACACAACUGUGUGAAGGAAUGACUUAGAAUGAGGCUGUAUAGCACAUAUACAUUUUUCUUUUUUCGAUUAAAUCACUUAAAAUCUAAAUCCAUGUGUUAAAGCUCUACUCUAAUAAACAAUCACACACAGUA